rnacentral:rRNA from 1 species
GUAAGGAAUAUUGGACAAUGCCCGCAAGGGUGAUCCAGCCAUGCCGCGUGCAGGAAGACGGCCCUAUGGGUUGUAAACUGCUUUUGUACCGGAGAAAACCUCCCCUCGUGAGGGGAGCUGAUAGUAUGGUAAGAAUAAGCAUCGGCUAACUUCGUGCCAGCAGCCGCGGUAAGACGAAGGAUGCAAGCGUUAUCCGGAUUCAUUGGGUUUAAAGGGAGCGUAGGUGGGUUUGUAAGUCAGUGGUGAAAGCCGGUCGCUUAACGAUCGAAUUGCCAUUGAUACUGCAGACCUUGAGUACAGAUGCUGUGGGCGGAAUAUGACAUGUAGUGGUGAAAUACAUAGAGAUGUCAUAGAACACCGAUUGCGAAGGCAGCUCACAAAACUGUAACUGACACUGAGGCUCGAAAGUGCGGGGAUCAAACAGGAUUAGAUACCCUGGUAGUCC